rnacentral:rRNA from 1 species
AAAAUAUCGAUGCAGGACCGUAAGGUCAUUGCAAUUGGAAUGAGUACAAUUUAAACCACUUAACGAGUAACAAUUGGAGGGCAAGUCUGGUGCCAGCAGCCGCGGUAAUUCCAGCUCCAAUAGCGUAUAUUAAAGUUGUUGCAGUUAAAAAGCUCGUAGUCGAAUUUCGGAUGAGGACACCUGGUUUGGCCUCUGGUCAAUACUAGGCUGACCGAGUCUUUCUUUUGGGGAAGCUUUGUGCCCUUAACUGGGUGCCAAGGGGAACCAAGACGAUUACCUUGAGGAAAAUAGAGUGUUCAAAGCAGGCUUUUGCUUGAAUACGUUAGCAUGGAAUAAUAAGAUAGGACUUUGGUUCUAUUUUGUUGGUUUUCAGGACCAUUGUCAUGAUGAAUAGGGACAGUUGGGGGCAUUAGUAUUCCUAAGCUAGAGGUGAAAUUCUUGGAUUUUAGGAAGACUAACUACUGCGAAAGCAUUUGCCAAGGAUGUUUUCAUUGAUCAAGAACGAAAGUUAGGGUAUCAAAGACGAUUAGAUACCGUCGUAGUCUUAACCAUAAACUAUGCCGACUAGGGAUCGGUGGACGUCAACUUUGACUCCAUCGGCACCUUGAGAGAAAUCAAAGUUUUUGGGUUCUGGGGGGAGUAUAGUCGCAAGGCCGAAACUUAAAGGAAUUGACGGAAGGGCACCACCAGGAGUGGAGCCUGCGGCUUAAUUUGACUCAACACGGGAAAACUCACCAGGUCCAGACAUAAGAAGGAUUGACAGAUUGAGAGCUCUUUCAUGAUUUUAUGGGUGGUGGUGCAUGGCCGUUCUUAGUUGGUGGAGUGAUUUGUCUGCUUAAUUGCGAUAACGAACGAGACCUUAACCUGCUAAAUAGUUCUGUCAACUUUUGUUGGCACGAACUUCUUAGAGGGACUAUCUGUGACUAACAGAUGGAAGUUUGAGGCAAUAACAGGUCUGUGAUGCCCUUAGAUGUUCUGGGCCGCACGCGCGCUACACUGAUAAAGUCAGCGAGUAUUCACCUUGACCGGAAGGUUUGGGUAAUCUUUUGAAACUUUAUCGUGAUGGGGAUUGAGCAUUGCAAUUAUUGCUCAUGAACGAGGAAUUCCUAGUAAGCGCGAGUCAUCAGCUCGCGUUGAUUACGUCCCUGCCCUUUGUACACACCGCCCGUCGAUACUACCGAUUGAAUGGCUUAGUGAGGC